rnacentral:lncRNA from 1 species
UCGUAACUUCUCUGGUUCUGUUUUAUUCAUUAUAAUCCUCAAAAACCCUGAAAGAAACAGAAUAACCUUUUUAUUGACCCACUCAAGUUAUUUAAUUUUUAUGUUUCCCUAGCCCAUAUCUGUUCACGUAUAGCUGAAAAUAAAAAAGAAACGGUGGAUUGAAAUUGAAGGGAAAUAGACAAUAGUUAUUGUUCCUAGCUUAAUUGGGAGAGAAAGCCAGAGUAAAAUAAGAGUCUAUUGCAGCUAAGAGGAAGAAGUUCUUUAGUCUCAACCAAAUAUGUAAAUAUAACAUCUCUCUUCUAAUAUUUUUAGUGCUAAUUCCUAGUAUAGAGCUGAUUAAGGGUGGGGGAAGCACAUAUUUAAUGGCCAUUAUUAUGCUAUUCUGAGGAAAAUUCUCUCAGUGUCUAAUAUUUUAAAAAUGGGUUUUAAUUAGAUCUUAUCAGCAACCCUAAAAUGCAACUUUUCUCACCCUCCAGAAAACAAAACAAAACAAAACAAAACUCACACCAUCCCCAAAACUAGGCUUGAUGAAUAACCACAUGGAAAAUAUGGAAAGAUGUUUCAUUAACCACACGGCAGAUGGAACUAGGUGGGAGGAAAACCUACCACAGCUUCUCUUAAUGGCAUAUUCAGGCUUUACUUCAGAAAAGGGAAGCAUCUAAAAAAGAUUGGAAGAAUUUCUCACCACUCUGCAGGCAGCUGUCUCCUCCCAGCACCCAGGACCUGAACUCAGAAACUACCAGCAACACAGACGAACUCCGGGUGAGGACGACAAGAGCUGAGCUCGGGUGCUUGCCUUCUGCACUCUCGGGAGGAGGCACCAGCAUGGGCACCCUUCACAGUUCGGGCCCCUCACUCACAAACGUCUGGCACAUGGAAACAAGCUGGCAAAAAGAUUGUUUUUUUCUUCUGUACUUUUUGUUAUAAGCCUGUGGUGAAGUGUCCAUAUCUGGCAUAAAUGAAUGUGAGUGGUCUUGGGAAUCUAAAUAUAACAUGUUUCUAAGUUACA